GUGCCAGUGGCGGAAUGCGGCAUACGCAGCCGGCUUAAAACCGGCUUUUUACUGGUUCGAGUCCAGUCUGGCACACCA
rnacentral:tRNA from 1 species